rnacentral:rRNA from 1 species
CCUACGGGAGGCAGCAGUGGGGAAUUUUGCGCAAUGGGGGCAACCCUGACGCAGCAACGCCGCGUGAGUGAUGAAGGCCUUCGGGUCGUAAAGCUCUGUCAGAGGGGAAGAAAUGCAGGUGGUGAACAACCAUUCUGUUUGACGGUACCCUCAAAGGAAGCACCGGCUAACUCCGUGCCAGCAGCCGCGGUAAUACGGAGGGUGCGAGCGUUGUUCGAAAUUAUUGGGCGUAAAGCGCGUGUAGGCGGUUUGUUAAGUCUGAGGUAAAAGCCCCGGGCUCAACCGGGAAAGUGCAUUGGAUACUGGCAGACUUGAGUACGGGAGAGGAGAGUGAAAUUCCCAGUGUAGGAGUGAAAUCCGUAGAUAUUGGGAGGAACCCCGGUGGCGAAGGCGGCCUUCUGGUCUGCCCCUGACACUCAGGCGCGAAAGCGGGGGGAGCAAACAGGAUUAGAUCCCCCGGUAGU